AACAAACAACUUAACAUGUAUCAAAUCAAUUCGAUAUACUACUUUGAUUGCAAAACAGCAUGUGACGUCAUUACGCACAGAUUUUUAUUCGCUUUAAAGCCGUUGGAUGGAAACACACUUUCACCAGGUUUAUUCGUAUGAGUUUUUUUACCGAGAUUCAGAUAAUU